rnacentral:rRNA from 1 species
UACGUAGGGUGCGAGCGUUAAUCGGAAUUACUGGGCGUAAAGCGUGCGCAGGCGGUUCGCUGUGUCCCAUGUGAAAGCCCCGGGCUUAACCUGGGAAUGGCAUUGGAAACUGGCGGGCUGGAGUGUGGCAGAGGGGGGUGGAAUUCCGCGUGUAGCAGUGAAAUGCGUAGAGAUGCGGAGGAACACCGAUGGCGAAGGCAGCCCCCUGGGCUAACACUGACGCUCAGGCACGAAAGCGUGGGGAGCAAACAGG